rnacentral:rRNA from 1 species
AUGCAUUGGUUCGCGUGGCGAAAGACGUGCAUACCAAAGAAAUAUGGAGGUAUGGGAUUUAGGGGCAUCCACUGUUUCAUUGCACUUCUAGCAAAACAAGCCCGACGUCUUAUUAAUAGCCCAGAUUCAUUAUGUGCAACUAUUCUGAAAGCUAAGUACUACCCAUAAGGAGACCUACUGGAGGCAACUUUAAAGCCAAAAUCAUCUUUCACAUGGCAGAGCAUUAUGGCCGGGGUAGACACAUUGAGGCGUGGGUAUAUUUGGAGGAUUGGAGAUGGUCAAAAGGUGAAUACAUGGGAGGAUUCGUGGAUUCCUCAAUCUCCAACGAAAAAAGUGCUAACUAUCAAGGGUAGUAACUUAAUAUCCCGAGUUUGCAACCUCAUUGAUCCGGUGAUUGGAGAUUGGGAUAUACAGUUGGUGAACCAAAUGUUCUGGAAUGUGGACGUUCGCAGGAUCCUGGCUAUACCCUUAGCUUUAUAUGAAAUGUCAGAUUUUAUUGCAUGGAUCCCUACCAAUAACGGUAUCUUCUCAGUGCGACCAGCUUAUCAAAUUGAAUGGAAUUUUCAGUUUGGUGCUCUGAAUCAUAAUAAUGCGGGUCCAUCAUCACCUGAUAAGAAGUGGAAUUUGAUUUGGAGCUUAGAAUGCCCAACAAAAAUUAAAAUAUUUACAUGGCGGGUCCUACAUGCUGCUCCUCCAUGUCGAGCAGUCCUAGCUUCUAAGCACAUGAAGGUUAAAAUUCAGUGCCCAGAAUGCAGGUUGGGACCUGACAGUAUACAACUCUUAUUGUUUGAUUGUCCAAGAUCAGUGCAGGUUUGGAGACAAUUGUGGCUGUAUGAGAUAGUAAAGAAGAAGUGCACAAAAUACAAGUCUGGAGAGGAAGUGAUGCACGAGUUGUUGCAUAUGGAAGAUACAUAA